CUUUCAGCAACGGAUGUCUCGGUUCCCGUAACGAUGAAGAACGCAGCGAAAUGCGAUACGCAAUGCGAAAUGCAUCAGUAGCGAGUCAUCGGAACUUUGAACGCAACUUGCACUUCCCUCGGGGAGUAUAUCUAUUGGAGUGUCUGU
rnacentral:rRNA from 1 species